rnacentral:piRNA from 1 species
UGCCACGCCCAUUCUGCUCUUACUCCUGAU